UUCCAAUCUCUUUAAUCAAAUGGAUCUCAUCAAUGAACUCCACAACCAUGUUUAUAUAAUGAUGAGAUAACUAACUUACUGGCCCUUGGAAUCCCAUCCAGAGUAACCAGCAACUUUAUUCAUUGCAUUUCUCCAUCUUUCAACCCUAUCACUGUUUUGACCAAAUUUCUCUAGAUGUUUUCUGAAGGCUUCCUCAAAGCUUCCUCUUUGAUGCCUUACAUCAGACGGAUCCACACCAUAGAAGACUGGCAAAACAUGCAGGUUGUUAUUGCUGCUGCACUCCAUGAUCAUUUGAAGCUCAUCCAAACACCAAGUGGAAGAUGCAUAGUCUGGUGAGAUAAUAGUGAUGGCAAACAUAGAAUCUUUUAUUGCAUUGAUUAGCUUUUCUGAAAUGUUUUUCCCUCUCUCAAGGUCUUUGUCAUCUCUGAAAGUUGUGAUCCCUUUUCUUUCAAGGGCAGCGCGUAAAUGAUCAGUGAAUCCUUUGCGUGUAUCUUCUCCUCGAAAACUCAAAAACACAUGGUAGCUGCAUAACCGUGUGGUCGAACUUGAACUGCAUGGAGAGGAAGAAGAUGCUUCACAUAUAGUGAAUGUUGCCAUUUGUUCAAUAAUUGGCACAACCUUCUAGUUUGUACUGUGGUAGCUGUGUUAUUUUAUGUAUGCUGCUUUUAACAGUGACAGUGUUUGAGACAAGAUAAUGUGUAAAUGGUGCACCAUAUUAUUGUGUUUAUAGAUGAAUCAGGAGAAUCCCUCGUAAGCUUUGAUCGGUUAGUAGGAAUAAUGCAUAUAUGUAAGGUUGAAGUUUAAAUGCCGGAUAAUACAAAAAAAAAAAAUGAAUCUGGAGACUAAUGUUAUUGGUACACCAUGAACUGUAUCUAUCACUUGUGUAGUAUUGAUUAAUAAGUAAUAUUUUGAGUUAUCUCUCCACCAUAUCCAAAGCUUCUUCCUCCUCCCCAUGUAGCUUUUUUUCUUUCGGCGUCCGUUGAUGAACUUUUAAGUGUGGUAAAAAUGUGCCAGAAUAAUGUAAAAUAUAAUUCGUCUUUAUAAAGACUGAUUAAUUCGUUUUCUUAGAGAUUGAUUAAUGUCUCAUAUAUAUAUUAUGUAAUUUGAGACAUUACAUAUUACAUAAUAACUCCUACUUUUGUUUCUUUCCAAUUGUUAGCUAUUAAGAAAAUUUUGUUUCUUCUUUCAAAAAAAAUUUUUGUUUCUAUUUAUACAUCGUUUUAAAAUUUAAACGUUUUUUUUUAAAACAAAUUUCACGAUUACUCUUUUACCAACAAAUUUCAUAUUAUAUAUGAAUUUUUGUUGUCAAUUAUUAUACUCUUUCCUUAACAAUUAGUUAUUUUACACUUGCACAAAUGCAAAAAGAGUAAAUAAAAAAAAAAUGGUCAAUAAAGAUAAAUAUAUAUUUAAGAUUUGUUUGUAAACACGUGUGGUAAUUUAGGGUGACUUAACUCAUUUAAAUUGUAAUUAAGAGAAUUAAGAGUGAUUUAAUUAAAGUUGGAUAUAACACUUAUGUGACUUAAGUAAGUAAUGUGAAAUGCAUUUUUGUCAAUUUGUAUGGAAUGAAACAAUUUUGGAUGGAAGAAGAGCCAUUUUUUAACACAUUUCAAUCAAAAUAAAUCACCUCAUUCAAUUUUGAUUUUCCUUUACCUAUUAACCGGUAAUACAAGUUGUUGAACAAAACAUCUCUCAAACAAACAAAAAAAAGUUGAACAAAAUCACCAUGGAUCCUUCAAGGUUCUCAGCAAAUCAGACGGCUCCUUCUCUGUCCAUAACUCAUCCCCUUCAAUGUCUUAUUCGCAAGCUCUGGUGGCCGUUUUCAGUUGGAUUUAAUUUGAAACAAAGUGAAACAGGUAACCGGUAAAGGAAAUAAAAAAGUGGAUUACAUGGCUUAUUUUGAUUGGAGUGUGUUAAAAGAGAAUUUUAAAGAGUGUGACUCUAACAUUUAUCUUUUUAGUAGAAUCUCAGUUUCGGUGGGUUGAACAGAGGUAUAGGAAUUGGAAUGUGAUAUUCUAGGUAUGCAGAAAAUUAAUAAACAAUAUUGAUAUUGAUUUUGGAGUAAUUAACUAAGUUGAAAACUACAACAACCAUCCAUCCCUUUCUUUCGUAGUAAAAUAUCCAAGUAUACCUUUAAUCAAAACUAUGGACAAUUGACCUUUCCACCCUCUUUAUAGUUAGUGGCCUAUUGGUCUUUUAAAAGAUCACGUUUUCCUUGGUAAGAGACUGCACUUAAUUAUCAUUCUCCAAAAUAUGUGAUUGUAGUUGGGUGUAUACACGAUAAUAGUAUAAAAUAUGUUUAAUUAUUUAAUUUAGAUGGUUGACAGAGACGGUGAUGAACUAUAAGUUAGCUAGAGCGAAACGAACAAGAGUGAAAAAAUCGCAAAUUUAAAGAGAGAGAGAUCGGUUGGUUAUAUAUAAAAAUAUAAAAAAUUAAGUAAAUGUAUUUUACUUAUCGAGUAAAUUACAUUCCCCUCCCCUCAAAGAUGUUUGAAUUACACUCUCCUCCCCUCUUAAGUUAAAAUAUACACUCCCCUCCCCUCUUAUUCAAAAUAUAUUAGAAAAAAUUUCAUCCCCCUCCCCUAAGAGAAGCUUGAAUUACAUCCCCCUCCCCUCUUAUGUUAAAAUCUACACUUUACUCCCUCAAUAUUCUUUUUUAUUAUUUCUAAUAAUCUAGCAAAAAAUAAUAAUUUAACACACUUAAAAAAAAUAUUAUUGCGGGUCUAUUUUAAUAUAAUAAAAAAUUGAAUACAUAUUUUUUGCUAUUUUUUAUUCACAAUUUCAUUAACAUGUAGUUUUAAACUCUAUUAUAAAACAUGAAACAACCCAAAACAAAAUUAAAAUAUGUGAAAAAUUACUAAAAUCAUUAAAACAUGAUUAUUUAAAAGUUAAUUUUAUACUCUAAUUUAUAAAAUCAAUAGCAAUAUAUUUAAAUUUAAUUAUCAUGACAUUUAAACUAUAAAGAAAUGAAUUAAUUUUUCUUAAAUGGUGAUUCAAAAUUAAUAUAUAUAUAUAUAUAUAUAUAUAUAUUAUAAGAAUAUUUAUUUAUGUUCAAAUAGAUUAAAGUGUAGUGCAUAUUUAAUUAUUAAGGGAGAGGUUUGUAAUUCAAGCAUCUUAUAAGAGAGGGGAGUAUAAAUUUUAACAUAAAAAAAAUAUUGAGGGAGUAAAGUGUAUAUUUUAACUUAAGAGGGGAGGGGAGUGUAAUUCAAACAUCUUUGAAGGGAGGGGAGUGUAAUUUACUCUUACUUAUAUGAUAAACAUAAAUAAUUUAGCCUUUUAUUCUUUAAAUCAAAUCCAGAGUUAUAUUCCUAUGGGCAUUAAAAAACGUUUAUCAUUUAAUGGAUCUCAGUAGUUAUUCUUAAAUGAAUUUUAGUUACUUUAGGUGAUUAGUCUAUCCAAUUGUAUGUGAUGCAAAUGAAUUCUAAAAAAAAAAGCAAUCAAAACAAUUAAAUAUGAAAUUAUACAACAUUUUAACAAUUUCACGCAAAUUAAAAAAUAUAAUUAAUUCAGCAUGAGAAAGUGAAAUUUUGAAUUAAAUUUUGAAUAACCAAACAAUUACGUUCAAGUGGUUAAGGAGCUCUACCAAUAAUUAAUUGUUCAGAAGAGUCGAGUAUAAUUUUUAGGUGGAACAAUAUUUUGUCAGUUUAUAUUUACCUUCCGACCAAACUUCAGAUUAUCAAUUUUUUUUUUUCUUGAGAAUUGAAGGGUAAAAAAAAAAAAAAAUUUAAAUCAUUUAUAAAAGUGUCAUUCAUGGAUGACAUUAUGAGGCGAUAUUAAUUUUUUUUUCAAGAAUAUAGAUUACUAAUAAUUAAUAACAUGGUAUGAAAAGAGUCAUUAAUGUCUUUUUUUGUGGUGUCUGGUUCAAGAUCAAUGCAACAUAUGCAUGAUGACUACGAGGAAGGAGGUUGCAUCCAUUUGCUCGUUAGAUUUUGCUUAAAAAUGCAUGUUUAAUCCUUUAGCUUUUGCUGGUGAUUAUACUCACUGUCUCAAAAAUUGAAAAUGUUUGUUUCAUUUCUGCAUCCAGUUACUAAGAGGCAGGAGCUAGUAGCCUCGGCUAGCUUAUGUGUGAAGUUUUUCAUCAAGAGUUCCUGAUCAGCAGUGAAUAUUACCAAUUUAUCACCAUAGCUACUGCUUCUAAGUAGCCUUUCUUGAUUCUUAUAUAUAGAAAGAUGUACAUGAUUUUAUCAUAAAAUAAAAUCUGAGAGGCACCAAAGAAAAUUAAAAAGGAGUUCAUCUCAAAUUUAUCUAUAAAUAUAGAUGGAAUAUUAGAUGAUAACAGGAUUUAUAAAUUUAUAGAUAGAUUCAAACAAUCUUAUACAUCAAGUAUGAAUUGAAACCACACUAAGUAACAGAGGUUUUCUUUGACUGAACCUCAAGCCCAGCUUCUUUAAAACAAUGGCCACUCAAAUAAGUUUCAAAUAUUGAAGAUUUUGCCUGCAUCUGAUACUGCUUCUGUAAGUUGUUGGCUUGUGUAGCAUUUUGCUGGUCAAGUUCAUCUCAUUUCGCCACAGGAAGCUCCAUGUUCAUCGCAGAAUGAAUGAUGCUAUUGUCAAGGACUGACAACCAUAUGAUCUUGAAACACUUUAACAUCUUGUUUGCACACCAAACGGCAGCCGCUAUUCACUAUUUGCAAUGAUUGACAACAAUAACAUUUCAAUGAAAAUUCAACGUCGUCCCAAUAAUCAUCUUCGAGAAUUUUGUCGCGGAAUUGUUCAAUGGACAAGUAGAGAAUAUAAAGAUGAGGAUAACAGGGAUCCAUAGGAGGUAAUCUCCUGGUGCUGAUCAAUUGCUUACCAUUAGGCGAAAACAAAUAACAAUCAAUCUCAUGAUUGCACAAUUCAGGUGGGACGGCAUAACUCACUAAUAGGAAACACAAUGCAAAUCCUACCCAUUCAUCUUGAGGGAAAUUAUUAGGGAUGUGUACUUUUUCCCAGGAAACGGAUCUUUGAGGAACAAACCAAGAUGGAAUUUCAUCCCCUGGGAUAAGCAUGUCAAAUCUUGUUGUGGGGAGACAACGACCCUGCAACACAUAAUUGUGAAACUUUUACUACAAAGUUAAUCUUACAGCUCAUAUUCUAUUUGUAUCAUUGUGCUACACAUUUAUUGGCUUAAUGUAUCACCAUUCUAAGUACUUCAAUUUAUACACAGUUACAAUAUAAUGAAUUAAGGAUACAUACCUCCAUAAAGCUUUUAAAUUCUCGAGGUAAGGACAGUUGUAUUGGUGAUGCAAAGAGACUGCAUGGCUUUGCUGGAUCGAAUUUGGGAGUUUCCAGUGAAUCACAAUUGCUUGCAUCCAACUGCAUUAUACUUGGUGGAAGCUCUGGCAGCAAUUGAAGCUUUUCGCAGCAAUUUAGAGUAAGAAGUUCCAGCUUCGAGAGUUCAGAAAUGCUGCUUGGUAUGGUAACAAAAUUGUUACCAGUUAGAUCCAAAGACACCAAUGACGUUAAUUGGAGAAAAUAAUGUGGGAUUGAUUCUUCAGAAAGAUCACAAUAACUUAAAUUUAUAUGUUUUAAAGAGGGUAGAUUCCAAGCAGAAUGUGGAAAUCUGAACCCAGUGGGAGCUGGUUGACUCGCUCGCAUCCGGUUGAAAGGAAUAAACCGGUUCAUUGACUUGGCCAACGUCCCUUUGCAACCAGCAAAUGAUAAUACUUUAAGACUAUCUGGCAAUCUAUAGAGUUCAUCAAUAGAAGUAUCAUUAGCAUGGAGUUCCUCCAAACACUUGAUUUCCUUUAAACCAUCUGGCAAUCUACACAGUUUUGAGCACCCAGAAAUAUCCAAAACUCUGAGGGAAUUCAAUCCAUGAAUGGUAUCUGGAAGACAAACAAGACUUUUGCAGUCCUUCAAGUUCAAAUCAGUAAGUCCAACUAGGCGUCCAAGUGAUGAGGUUAGAUUCCUUAAAGCUGUUCCUUGUAAAGCAAGGAUUGAUAGAUUUUCCAUGCUUUCCCCAAACUCUGGAAGGAAUUUAAAUUCACAGCAUCCAGAAAGAAUCAACUCCUUCAGGGAACUCAUCUCCAAUUUCUCAGGAAGAGCUUCAAGACUUUUGCAGUCCUCUAAAUUCACCAGAACAACUUUAUUGUGGUGUACAAGGGAAGGAUGAACCUCAGUUAGGCUUGCGCAGCCUUUAAGAAUCAAUUUUUCAAGAUUUGGAACCCCAUAAAAAUCAGGCAAUCUCUUUAGGUUCUUGGAAAAUUUCAAAUUCAGAUACUUCAGAUUUUCCAUAAACUGCUCAAAAUUGUAAAAUUAUCAGCAUCAAAUGUCAUGGUUAUAAAACUUAAUAGAGCUAUUAGUAGAAGUGACUUACAUUUAUUCCUUGCCAAAGUAGUUCAAGUUGGCUAUGAGAUAGUUUAAUGUCAACAACUUCAUCCAGUUGAUUUGUUUGUGCAAGAGUCUUUAAAGGACAUCCUCUCCACCGAAGAACUUUCAAAGAACUAGGAAGGCAGCUGAGGCCAAGGGGAAGAUGCACCUCAUUUAAGCUGAGUAAUUUUAUCUGAGUUGCCAUUGAGAAUGCUUCAGUGCUCCAGCGUGCUUCAUAUGGUUGGAGUGAGUUGAGAACUACACUGCUAAUUUUUUCGGUUCCCUACAAAAUCAUAAUAAUCUCAUAGAAUGAGGGGGACACGAUCUUAAACAAACAAAAUAUUGUAUGAUUUGCUAUGGUUGUAUGUUAUAGUAAAAAAAAAAAAUUACUUCAUAUAAAACCAAUUAUCCAACCGUGGCAGAAAAAUUAGUAACCACCUUAUUUUUUGUCAACACACGAUCAAUGUCUUCUUUAGACCAUAAUCUGCUACGUUUGCCUGGAUCAUUUGGAGAUUCCUGAAUUACAAUAUUCCUUCCCAUUUCUUGAAGCAAAUCAUGCAUCCCCAGUUUAUUAUUGACACGAUCUAGAGUUAUCAAAGAUCUGUCUAUCAAAACUUGAAUUGUAAUUUCGGGGUGAUAUCCACAAUUUUCUAAUAUAUUUAUUACUUUAUCUCUCUUCAUUCCCUUGAAGAAACAGGAAAUAUCUAGAAAUAUAUUCUUCUCCAUGGCAUCUAAGCUCUCAUAACUUAUUUUCAGUUUAUCUUGGAUUUCACGUAGAGGAGCACUUCUUAUAUUUUUAAUAGCACUAUGCCAAAGAUCAACACUUCUUCCAUAAAGAUAGGAACCUAACACCUCAAGUGCCAAUGGAAGACCACCAGCAUAUUCCACCACUUCUUUAGACAAAUCCAAAUAGCCUUCUUGUGGUUUAUCUCCUUUAAAGGCUUUCAAACAAAAGACAUUAAGGGCUUCGUUUUGGAAUAGCAUCCCAACCUCAUAAGGUUGAUGUACUCCAUGUGUUAUCAACCAGUGUUUAUCUCUUGUUGUGAUUAUUACUCUACUUCCUGGACCAAACCAAUCUUGCUUCCCAGCCAAAUUCUCCAACUGAUUUAUUUCAUUCACAUCAUCAAGAACAAGUAGAACCUUUUUUCUGCAUAAAGAAUUUUGUAUUGUUUUUUUGCCAUCAUACAAAUUAUGAAAAUCAUUUCUACUUAUACUUAGAUGAGAAAGAAGUUGCCUUUGUAUGUGAACUAAACCAUUUGCCUCAGAUAUCUCUCUAACAUUUUCAAGAAAGCAAGUAGUUUGAAAUUCACAUUGGAUUGCUUCGUAAACAGCUCUAGCAAUAGUUGUCUUACCUAUGCCACCCAUACCCCAUAUGCCUAUAAAGCGAACAUCAUUCAACCCCAUACCUAAGAGCUUGUUCACUUCCUCCACUUUUGAAGCAAUCCCAACAAGGUUCUCUGUACAAGAUGGCAAUUUAGGAACCAACUUUCUAUGUAUGUGUUGAGCAAUGCUUUCAACUAGUAACGCCUCGUGCCUGUUCAAGUAGAAGCAGACAACAACCAAACCGUAAGCAAAUAAAAAAACAAACUGAAAAUAUAAGUUCUUAUUUUUCCGUUUGAUCCAAGGUAAAGCCUGAAACAAAUUCCAUGACACACUAUGAAGGACCAACUCAAGUUGAAAGUCAAGGCUAAUGAAAACUUGGAAAUGAUUUUGUAUGUAUAACAUGUCCCAUCAGAUGAAAUAUAAGGUAAAGCUAGCUAGGCAUAUUACUGUGAUUUUCAAUUUUUAAUAAAGUUAAACCCAUGUAAAAGAAUAUGCUUGACAUUUGAUAUUAGGCAGAAUUGGUUAUGAUAUGUAAAAAGGAAUAGAUUUUGAACUGCUAAUAAUAUACAACAAGUAACUAUACAUUUGUGUAGCCUGAGGUUCUGGAGCCCCCACGGGGUAAGCGAGCGGAUUAGGAAGGGGGUGGGCAACCUCUUCACCUAAAACGUCAAGGUCGAAAAAGGUCCAGGCCGAGCUGGAACCUUCAUGUGAACCCACACUCAUGCGAGUGUUACACCAAAAAUAAUUAAACAAUAUGUGAUAACUGAACUUUCUAAAUGAUCAAGUGCGUGUUUGGUCCUACGGUGAUAAAAAUUGAUUCUGAAUGAAUUGAUUCUGGCUAAAAAUGAGUUGAAUGUAAAGUGAUUUAUGUUUGGAUACAUUCAGGUACAAAAUUGAACUGUAAAUUCAAGGCUAGAAAUCAAUUAUGGAGACAAAAGUUCCAAGCUAUAGAAUUACUUUUGGAGGCAAAAUCAAUUCUACUUGAGAGCAUCCAAGCAUGACAAAAUCAAAUCUACACAUGUAGAUUAAAUUUUGCCUCAUCCAAAAGUCAAUGAAGUCAACAUUAAUCUCUAAUGAUAGGAUAAGUAACUUAUUGGCCCUUGGUGCUUAUAAAAAAAAUAAAAAAUAACUUACUGGCCCUUGGAAUCCCAUCCAGAGUAACUGGCAACUUGUGUGAAAGCAUCUCUCCAUCUAUCAACCCUGUCACUGUGUUGACCAAAUUUCUCUAGAUGUUUUCUGAAAGAUUCCUCAAAGCAUCCUCUUUGAUGUCUUACAUCAGAUGGAUCCACACCAUAGAAGACUGGUAAAACUUCUAGACCCUUAUUGCUGCAUUCCAUGAUCAUUUGAAGUUCAUCCAAACACCAGGUGGAGGAAGCAUAGUCUGGUGAGAGGACAGUGAUGGCAAACAUAGAAUCUUUAAUUGCAUUGAUUAGCUUUUCUGAAAUGACUUGCCCUCUCUCAAGGUCUUUGUCAUCUCUAAAAGUUGUUAUCCCUUUUCUUUCAAGGGCAGCACAUAAAUGAUCAGUGAAUCCUUUGCGUGUAUCUUCUCCUCGAAAACUCAAAAACACAUGGUAGCUGCAUAAACUUGUGGUUGAACUUGAUCUGCAAGAAGAAGAAGAAGAGGCUUCCAUUUGUUCAACAAUUGCUACAACUUUUCAUCAGCGACUAGUGUUUGAGACAGUCCUUGGAUGUUGGCUAAUCCAUGCUUUAAAUGGUCUUCGUCACUCGACGGUGAGAUUGAUUGGUCGUUUGUUAAGGAUUAAAAUAAAGGGAAAUUCUAUGGUUAAGUUGCUAAAAUGACUUUUUCGGUGAAUUAACUCUACAGCUAAUAAGAACACUGUUAGUUAUGUGUUAUAGUGGCGGAUGCAUGGUAUGUAUUGUGUACCUUCAGUCAAAUUUAAUUGUAUUUUAGCCCUUAGAUUUUUUGAAUCAUCAGAUUAAACACUUCAUUGGUGUUAUUGUGUUGUCUUUCACACUAUAUUUAUUUCUUUUCUCCUUUU
rnacentral:lncRNA from 1 species